rnacentral:rRNA from 1 species
UGGGGAAUUGUUCGCAAUGGGCGCAAGCCUGACGACGCAACGCCGCGUGGGGGAUGAAGGUCCUCGGAUUGUAAACCCCUGUUGGGUGGGACGAACACUCCCGUGGUGAACAGCCAUGGGAGCUGACGGUACCACCUGAGGAAGCCCCGGCUACCUCUGUGCCAGCAGCCGCGGUAAUACAGAGGGUGCAAACGUUGCUCGGAAUCAUUGGGCGUAAAGCGCACGUAGGCGGUCCGACAAGUGGGGAGUGAAAGCCCUCGGCUUAACCGAGGAAGUGCUUUCCAAACUGUCGGACUUGAGUACGCAAGAGGAUCGCGGAAUUCCCGGUGUAGAGGUGAAAUUCGUAGAUAUCGGGAGGAACACCAGCGGCGAAGGCGGCGAUCUGGGGCGAUACUGACGCUGAGGUGCGAAAGCGUAGGGAGCAAA